rnacentral:rRNA from 1 species
CGCGUGCACUGGUCCGGCCGGGCCUUUCCCUCUGCGGAACCCCAUGCCCUUCACUGGGUGUGGCGGGGAAACAGGACUUUUACUUUGAAAAAAUUAGAGUGCUCAAGGCAGGCCUAUGCUCGAAUACAUUAGCAUGGAAUAAUAGAAUAGGACGUGUGGUUCUAUUUUGUUGGUUUCUAGGACCGCCGUAAUGAUAAAUAGGGACAGUCGGGGGCAUCAGUAUUCAAUUGUCAGAGGUGAAAUUCUUGGAUUUAUUGAAGACUAACUACUGCGAAAGCAUUUGCCAAGGAUGUUUUCAUUAAUCAGGAACGAAAGUUAGGGGAUCGAAGACGAUCAGAUACCGUCGUAGUCUUAACCAUAAACUAUGCCGACUAGGGAUCGGACGAUGUUACAUUUUUGACGCGUUCGGCACCUUACGAGAAAUCAAAGUGCUUGGGCUCCAGGGGGAGUAUGGUCGCAAGGCUGAAACUUAAAGAAAUUGACGGAAGGGCACCACCAGGGGUGGAGCCUGCGGCUUAAUUUGACUCAACACGGGGAAACUCACCAGGUCCAGACACAAUGAGGAUUGACAGAUUGAGAGCUCUUUCUUGAUUUUGUGGGUGGUGGUGCAUGGCCGUUCUUAGUUGGUGGAGUGAUUUGUCUGCUUAAUUGCGAUAACGAACGAGACCUUAACCUGCUAAAUAGCCCGUAUUGCUUUGGCAGUACGCUGGCUUCUUAGAGGGACUAUCGG